CCCUUAGAUGUUCUGGGCCGCACGCGCGCUACACUGACUGGUGCAACAAGUGUCUGACCUUGGCCGAUAGGUCUGGGUAAUCUUUGAACGCUGUUCGUGAUUGGGAUAGACCUUUGCAAUUAUGGGUCUUCAACGAGGAAUUCCUAGUAAACGCAAGUCAUCAGCUUGCAUUGAUUACGUCCCUGCCCUUUGUACACACCGCCCGUCGCACCUACCGAUUGAAUGGUCCGGUGAAAUCUCGGGACGGCGGCUUGGUCGCUUGCGUCCGACUGCUGAAACUUGAUUAAACCAUAUCAUUUAGAGGAAGGUGAAGUCGUAACA
rnacentral:rRNA from 1 species